UCAAAAAAAAAAAGGAGAGCUUUUUUGCAUCUCCCUCUACAAGGACGGAAUCGGCCUUCGGGAUUUACGGUUACCACACAUCAAUUUAAGGCAUUCCAAGUUGGUGUGAUCAGCAAGGAAUGUGGUUU